UACGUAGGGGGCAAGCGUUGUCCGGAUUUAUUGGGCGUAAAGAGCGUGUAGGCGGCCAGAUAAGUCCGCUGUGAAAACUCGAGGCUCAACUUCGAGCUGUCGGCGGAAACUAUCUGGCUAGAGUACGGAAGAGGAGAGUGGAAUUCCUGGUGUAGCGGUGAAAUGCGCAGAUAUCUGGAGGAAUACCGGUGGCGAAGGCGGCAUCCUGGACCAUUACUGACGCUGAGGCGCGAAAGCUAGGGGAGCAAACGGG
rnacentral:rRNA from 1 species